rnacentral:rRNA from 1 species
CACGUAGGCACCAAGCGUUGUCCGGAUUUAUUGGGCGUAAAGAGCUCGUAGGCGGUUCGGUAAGUCGGGUGUGAAAACUUUGGGCUCAACCCAAAGCCUGCACCCGAUACUGUUGUGACUCGAGUCCGGUAGGGGAGUGGGGAAUUCCUGGUGUAGCGGUGGAAUGCGCAGAUAUCAGGAGGAACACCGGUGGCGAAGGCGCCACUCUGGGCCGGUACUGACGCUGAGGAGCGAAAGCGUGGGGAGCGAACAGG